rnacentral:rRNA from 1 species
GAUGAACGCUGGCGGCGUGCUUAAUACAUGCAAGUCGAGCGAACGGACGAGAAUCUUGCUUCUCUGAUGUUAGCGGCGGACGGGUGUGUAACACGUGGAUAACCUACCUAUAAGACUGGGAUCACUUCGGGAAACCGUCGCUAAUACCGGAUAAUAUUUUGAACCGCAUGGUUCAAAAGUGAAAGACGGUCUUGCUGUCACUUAUAGAUGGAUCCGCGCUGCAUUAGCUAGUUGGUAAGGUAACGGCUUAUCAAGGCAACGAUGCAUAGCCGACCUGAGAGGUGGAUCGGCCACACUGGAACUGGGACACGGUCCAGACUCCUACGGGAGGCAGCAGUAGGGUAUCUGCCGCAAUGGGCGAAAGCCUGACGGAGCAACGCCGCGUGAGUGAUGAAGGUCUUCGGAGCGUAAAACUCUGUUAUUAGGUAAGAACAUAUGUGUAAGUAACUGUGCACAUCUUGACGGUACCUAAUCAGAAAGCCACGGCUAACUACGUG